rnacentral:rRNA from 1 species
CUAGUAACGGCGAGUGAAGCGGCAACAGCUCAAAUUUGAAAUCUGGCGUCUCCGGCGUCCGAGUUGUAAUUUGUAGAGGAUGCUUCUGGGCAGCCACCGGUCUAAGUUCCUUGGAACAGGACGUCAUAGAGGGUGAGAAUCCCGUAUGCGACCGGACAGGCACCCUCCACGUAGCUCCUUCGACGAGUCGAGUUGUUUGGGAAUGCAGCUCUAAAUGGGAGGUAAAUUUCUUCUAAAGCUAAAUACCGGCCAGAGACCGAUAGCGCACAAGUAGAGUGAUCGAAAGAUGAAAAGUACUUUGGAAAGAGAGUUAAAAAGCACGUGAAAUUGUUGAAAGGGAAGCGUUUGCAACCAGACUUGCUCGCGGUGUUCCGCCGGUCUUCUGACCGGUCUACUCGCCGCGUUGCAGGCCAGCAUCGUCUGGGGCCGCCGGAUAAGACUUUAGGAAUGUAGCUCCCUCGGGAGUGUUAUAGCCUAUUGUGAUGCGGUGCGUCCCGGGCGAGGUCCGCGCUUCGGCUAGGAUGCUGGCGUAAUGGUUGUAAACGGCCCGUCUUGAAACACGGACCAAGGAGUCUAGCAUCUAUGCGAGUGUUCGGGUGUCAAACCCCUACGCGUAAUGAAAGUGAACGGAGGUGGGAACUUUUUGUGCACCAUCGACCGAUCCUGAUGUCUUCGGAUGGAUUUGAGUAAGAGCAUAGCUGUUGGGACCCGAAAGAUGGUGAACUAUGCCUGAAUAGGGUGAAGCCAGAGGAAACUCUGGUGGAGGCUCGCAGCGGUUCUGACGUGCAAAUCGAUCGUC